rnacentral:rRNA from 1 species
AUGCCUGGGGACGCACGCAUCCCAAUGAUGGAUCUAAUGGAUACUUGCAAGCACCUUUCCAAGGCAGUUGGAAUUGUAACAAAAUCAGUUCUUGAAGAGCAGCUGACGAGUGUUGGAAGCAGCACGACCUGCACAGGUAGCUUGCACGGCUUCAACAGAUACGGUCACAAGGCCACAUUCCGGUCCCUGAAGAAGAUUCGGGCACCCUUGAUGAUGCCUACACCCUCUGUUAGUUCUCAGUUCCAUUUUAUGUUGAACUCCCAAUUUCAUGUGCCAAUUUGCAGUGCUUUGAGGAGGGUGCAAAGGUCUACUCUGAUGAAUCCUGCACCAACUGGUUCAGCCUUCAAAAUCCACUCAAAUGAUGAGAACCUGUCCGCGAGCAACGGAAACCUUGGAGGCCUUCAAGAAGAUGAAGUGUCGUGUUUGGAAGGAAACAGUCCAAUUUCUUGGACAGACAGUCCAAAACUAGAUCCCCUGUUGCAUGAUCUUCGGAACAGGAGGGCUGGACCGGAGCACCAAACAAGGCAAAUUAAUUGUAACUCGAGCCCAGUAGCAAAUUAG